rfam:Klebsormidium nitens chloroplast DNA, scaffold: kfl01813, whole genome shotgun sequence.
GGAGAGGUGGCUGAGUGGCCGAUAGCGAUAGAUUGCUAAUCUGUUGUACGCCCUAGGUGUACCGAGGGUUCGAAUCCCUCCCUCUCCA